rnacentral:rRNA from 1 species
UACGUAGGGUGCAAGCGUUGUCCGGAAUUACUGGGCGUAAAGGGCUCGUAGGUGGCCAACUAAGUCAGACGUGAAAUCCCCAGGCUCAACUUGGGAACUGCGUCUGAUACUGGAUGGCUUGAAUUCGGGAGAGGGAUGCAGAAUUCCAGGUGUAGCGGUGAAAUGCGCAGAUAUCAGGAGGAACACCGAUGGCGAAGGCAGCUCGCUGGGACGGUACUGACGCUGAGACGCGAAAGCGUGGGGAGCAAACAGG